GCAAGGAAGUGCUUACUGUGAGUUUGAUGCUGAGAGCCUGGAACUGGCUGCAUAUCUAGUUUCAGUGACUUUUUACUGAGCUCUGCAAAGGAUCCUCGGACGCCCUCAAGCAUCACAAUGGAGACAGUGAACUUUGAGAAUGUAGCUGUGAAGUUCACCCUAGAAGAGUGGAAUUUGUUGUCUCCAUUCCAAAAGAAGCUCUACAGAGAUGUGAUGAGGAAAACAUAUAUGAAUAUUACUGCAGUAGAUAUGAUGAAGACAAUUGUAUAAGAUUUGAACAACAGCAAUAUAAAUGUAAUGAAGAUGUA